AGUUUAGUUCCAGGAUCCACACUCCUCCACCAUAGUCAGGAGAUUCAGGGAAAGUUGGCAGGGUUCAGCUUUCAAGUUGACCCUUGAUGAACCAUGGUCAAUCCUGUUAAGAGGCGUGAAAGCCAAUCCCAGCCAAUGAGACUGGGGAGAAAUCACUGAAGAACUUGUGGAAAACAGACCCUCUGGAUAAAAGACACGUGUGGGGAAAAAGGGGCUUUUUAAUGUUAUUCUGGAUGUUUCCCAAAAGUACUGCUGCUGCCUUGCCUCCCUGACAGACACUGGCCUUAGGAUGACAUGCGGCAGGAAGGAAGGACGGAUCUGGGGUUUUUCAAGACUCACUGAGAUGCACAAGGAACCAACCCUCAAGUAGCCAACUCGUUCCUGUUUGCAUGUGUCGACUGAAAAGAAUCAAAAUAAACAAAAUAUAACUAUUUCUAAGAGGUUACAACUUGCAGGCAGGAAGCAGGCCUCUACCUGAGGCCAUAAAGCAUACUUUGAAGGAGAAAAGGUAGGUAUUUAUGCUAGGUGGAGAGGUAGGAUAUACGUAUUCUGUAGCAUACAGGAGAAGCCUAUGAAAAUUCAUGGAGGAAACUCGUUAGAGACACGCACUGGGCUUACAUAUGAAGAAUAUCCAAAAGCGGAUGACCUGUGUUCACUCUGGGGUGAAGAUUUAACAUUUAAAUGUAUUAUAAUUAGGCUGUAAAUGCAAAAAGGUGAAACAUAGGGCACAAGUUCACGAUCUGUGCAAUCUCCAGAGACCAGUCUGAUCUAGCCUGCAGCUGGCAGUCAUCUGUCAAGAAGGGGCUCUUUGUAGCCCAGAGUAGCUGUCAGGUUGGAACCAUAAAACCAAAAGGAGGGCAUCGGCGGUUAGGUGAAGAAAAGAAGUCUUUUGGCCUUUUUUCCUCUUCAAGUCAGCUUUUGAUAAGAUCUAGUAAUAAUAAGGGGAUGGGUGUGGCUGCAGGUGGGACAUGUCGGUUCUCUGUCCUGUCACAGCUAAGAACUAAGAACUUUAGAGUCUUUCAGCCAUAGAGGGUCCUGUCAUCCAUUGAAGGGAUCAGUCCAUUGGGAUUUUGCCAGUUUUAGCAUUGAUGCUGUGUCCUGGGAAACCCCUGAAUACUUAUCAUAGCAGAAGUUCAGCCACUGUAGCCCUACCUCAGGACCGCUUUUAUGGGAAAGAAUAAUUCCUUUAACUGCUUGAGCCAUUUGAGUUGUGGCUGCUUUUGGUACUUGUAAUAAAUUGAAAGCAUCUUGAAUGUUCUGGGACAGUAAAAGAAUGUGCCUUUGUUUCUGACAGCAAUUAUAAAAUCAAUUAUAUGUUUAUAUUCUAAAAAAUGUUUUGAGUAAUGCUGACAUCAUUGGAAAAGUGCAUCACUUAGAAAAUGUAUCUGUGUGUCAAUUUUGUUUGUUCAAAAUCAGUUUCAUUAAUUUGUGGGAAGAUACACCUUGUACAUUUUACCUAAUUAAAAAAAAUAUUGCCAGUUGAGUAUACUUGUGAUAUAUUCAAAGAUAAAUAAACUUUUUCAAUUUUAGAUAUUCAUA
rnacentral:lncRNA from 1 species